rnacentral:rRNA from 1 species
UACGGAGGGUGCAAGCGUUAUCCGGAUUCACUGGGUUUAAAGGGUGUGUAGGCGGGUAUUUAAGUCAGUGGUGAAAUCUCCAGGCUCAACCUGGAAACUGCCAUUGAUACUAUUUAUCUUGAAUAUCGUUGAGGUUGGCGGAAUAUAUCAUGUAGCGGCGAAAUGCAUAGAUAUGAUAUAGAACACCGAUUGCGAAGGCAGCUAACUAAGCGAUUAUUGACGCUGAGGCACGAAAGCGUGGGGAUCAAACAGG